UACGGAGGAUGCAAGCGUUAUCCGGAAUUAUUGGGCGUAAAGCGUCCGCAGGUGGCUAUGUAAGUCUGCUGUUAAAGAGUGAGGCUCAACCUCAUAAGAGCAGUGGAAACUACAUGGCUAGAGUGCGUUCGGGGCAGAGGGAGUUCCUGGUGUAGCGGUGAAAUGCGUAGAGAUCAGGAAGAACACCGGUGGCGAAAGCGCUCUGCUAGGCCGCAACUGACACUCAUGGACGAAAGCUAGGGGAGCGAAUGGG
rnacentral:rRNA from 1 species